rnacentral:rRNA from 1 species
AGUGAACGCUGGCGGUAGGCCUAACACAUGCAAGUCGAACGGCAGCACAGUAAGAGCUUGCUCUUACGGGUGGCGAGUGGCGGACGGGUGAGGAAUACAUCGGAAUCUACUUUUUCGUGGGGGAUAACGUAGGGAAACUUACGCUAAUACCGCAUACGACCUACGGGUGAAAGCAGGGGAUCUUCGGACCUUGCGCGAUUGAAUGAGCCGAUGUCGGAUUAGCUAGUUGGCGGGGUAAAGGCACACCAAGGCGACGAUCCGUAGCUGGUCUGAGAGGAUGAUCAGCCACACUGGAACUGAGACCCGGUCCAGACUCCUACGGGAGGCAGCAGUAGGGAAUAUUGGACAAUGGGCGCAAGCCUGAUCCAGCCAUACCGCGUGGGUGAAGAAGGCCUUCGGGUUGUAAAGCCCUUUUGUUAGGAAAGAAAAGCAGCAGGUUAAUACCCCGCUGUUCUGACGGUACCCAAAGAAUAAGCACCGGCUAACUUCGUG